rnacentral:lncRNA from 1 species
GAAAAUGGGAGCACAGACUUCAGACUGGUCCAAUGGCAAAGGAAGCCACACCAGGCAUACGGCGUGACCCCAUGGCAGAUGUCCCAUCCUCCAGCUUUACUCCCAUGCCUAGGAGACAGGGGCUAAAAUCAAAGACCCACUCAUUUGCCUACUCAGGUGGCAGUCCUUUACAAAGGAUCUCUCAGGAAGCUGAGUUUGGAUUUUUAUUUCCAGAGCACCUACCUGCUUUGCACGAGCCUGGACCUGAUUGCCCCAUUACAGAAAAACAGGGUACUCAUGAUGAGGCCAUGAAGUUCCCCCAGUCAGAAACCAAGGCUGUUGGGAAACUUCUCAAGAAAGGUUCUCAAGGGCCAUUGCUGGAGUGAGCAGAUCUUCUGAGACUUGUCAGCUUUGAG